rnacentral:rRNA from 1 species
GACGAACGCUGGCGGCGUGCUUAACACAUGCAAGUCGAACGGAAAGGCCCUGCUUUUGUGGGGUGCUCGAGUGGCGAACGGGUGAGUAACACGUGAGUAACCUGCCCUUGACUUUGGGAUAACUUCAGGAAACUGGGGCUAAUACCGGAUAGGAGCUCCUGCUGCAUGGUGGGGGUUGGAAAGUUUCGGCGGUUGGGGAUGGACUCGCGGCUUAUCAGCUUGUUGGUGGGGUAGUGGCUUACCAAGGCUUUGACGGGUAGCCGGCCUGAGAGGGUGACCGGCCACAUUGGGACUGAGGUACGGCCCAGACUCCUACGGGAGGCAGCAGUGGGGAAUAUUGCACAAUGGGCGGAAGCCUGAUGCAGCAACGCCGCGUGCGGGAUGACUGCCUUCGGGUUGUAAACCGCUUUCGCCUGUAACGAAGCGUGAGUGACGGUAAUGGGUAAAGAAGCACCGGCUAACUACGUG